CACUGGAAUUACUCGAGAACUUGAGACAGGAAACCAGAGCACUGUGGGCGGACAGAGUAGACACGUCUACUCCCAAGAUAAAUAAAAUGUCAGAAGCAGAUGCUUUUCCUGCAUUCGAGGUGCCAGGAAGCAGGAAGUCAGAGCUUUGAAUUAGAGGGUGUGUACAGUAAUGCUGGUACAGUAGGGCAGGUGCAGUAGGGCGUGUACAGUAGGGCGGGUGCGGUAAUGCAGGUACAGUGGGGCGUGUACAGUGGAGCGUGUACAGUGGGGCGUGUACAGUGGGGCGUGUACAGUGGGGCGUGUACAGUAGGGCG
ensembl:lncRNA